ACUCCUACGGGAGGCAGCAGUGGGGAAUAUUGCACAAUGGGGGAAACCCUGAUGCAGCCAUGCCGCGUGUGUGAAGAAGGCCUUCGGGUUGUAAAGCACUUUCAGUAGGGAGGAAGGUAGUGUAGUUAACACCUGCAUUAUUUGACGUUACCUACAGAAGAAGCACCGGCUAACUCCGUGCCAGCAGCCGCGGUAAGUACGGAGGGUGCGAGCGUUAAUCGGAAUUACUGGGCGUAAAGCGCAUGCAGGCGGCCUGUUAAGUCAGAUGUGAAAGCCCGGGGCUUAACCUCGGAAUUGCAUUUGAAACUGGCAGGCUAGAGUCUUGUAGAGGGGUUAGAAUUUCAGGUGUAGCGGUGAAAUGCGUAGAGAUCUGAAGGAAUACCGAGUGGCGAAGGCGGCCCCUGGACAAAGACUGACGCUCAGAUGCGAAAGCGUGGGAGCAAACAGGAUUAGAUACCCCUGGUAGACUGUCA
rnacentral:rRNA from 1 species